CUUCUCUCGCGCUCUUUCCCUCCAUUUGCCUUCCAAUUUCUUCUCUUCACAAAGCGUUUUUAUACCCUCCGUCCGUCUUUCAGACUUGAUAGGCCUUUCAGGUAUACCGAAAUCGUCAAUCAUUCUCUCGUUCACCGUGCCCGUCUGCUGCCCCCAGAACCCCAGUCCCAGACCGAGAUUUAGGUCUUUACUUUGGCUUCGACUGUGAUUCAAGCCGAGCGCGGGUCUCCUUAUCUCUUGUAAGAGAUCAGCCAUACCCAGCCAUUCUAGCUCUGCUUCUACUCUGUCUCUAGCUUCUUUACCACCGAUGUUGGCCCAGACGUUCCACUGACCCGAGAUUAGCCUAUGGGAGAUUCGGUGAUAGACUCCCGCCUCGCGAGUGAGGAAAACUCUCAUUUCGGUAAAAACUCCUUUCUUCGGCUUGGGGGGUGCGGAUGCUUCAGCUUCUUGGCUGAUAUGCAAAAGCGAAAGCAGACGAUCAGUCUUCCGCUUAACGUUAAGAGGUAGAGUCAAUCCUGACGGGGAGGCUGCAGCAUACGCCAAAGGAGGGACGGCAGGCUCGAUGGCAGUACCGGGUACACGCGGCUUGCUAACUAGUUGAAUAUACUGAUUCCUAGUCUGGGCUCGUUUGUAUCCUGGUGUUUUGGGAGAUUUAGGGGGUGCAGGUGAUUUGGAACCGUCGGAAAAAGGAGGGAGGUCAAGAAUCUUGGUGGGAGGAGAUGAGAUAGAAGGAAGUGGGAUUGUAUGCGACGUUGGGGAGGAUGAUGAGAUGAUCAGUUUGCAAGCGUAUGGACUUACCGAAGCAAAGCGCUGAGAUCGCAAUCACUAUCCCAAUCACUUUCCUCCGCACUCUCGCCAUCAGUCAUCUCGGGCAACUUUUUCUCCUCUCGUAUCUCUUCCUUUUCCCCAACCUUCUUCUCUUCUUCAUCCUCCUGUUCUUUUAGGUAAUCCAUCACCCAAUCGUAAAGCUUCCCUCCACCCUUCUUGAGCGUUUUCAAGGGUAAAAUCACGCUCUCAUUUUUGGGAGGAUCCGCAAAAGAGUAUGUAAAUUCAAUGUUGAUCAGUGUAAUACUAUCUUGCUCGCCAGAUGACAGCUUGGGAAGGGGUUUAUGAGUACAAGAAAGAAGAGCAGCACUGAAAGGGGUAUUAAUCCUAGGCAAAGGUGAGGACCUGGGAGGAAGCUUAACAGCCGAUCGAUUCGAGAUCAAGGACGGUCGCUUGGCAGGAGAAGAGAAUGGAGUGUUGGAGAUGGAUGGCGAUGUCGAGCUCGAGGUCGUAUUAGACGUUAGAGUUGAACGAGCCAUGGACUUGGAUCGCGAGUGGAACGACGCAGGUGGUGAGCUUACAUAGCUAGCGCUGGUGGAUUGAGAUUUGGAGCGACCAGGCGAAAGAAAUGGUGACCCUCUCGAAGGCCUACCCGGCGUUGGUGGCAUAGGUCCAAGUCUAUCGCUGUCUUCUCUUUCAAUUCGCUCUCCAAAAACUGGUACUGCGCUCGGGCUUUUCACUAACCCUCUUGCGCUCCCAUCAAGACCGCCUCGCAAAUCUUCUCGAGCACUUGUACUCCUAUGUACUCUCGUUGGCUCGACUUUGCUAGGAGCAUAGAGGUUAGAGUUAUCAAUAGACCUUGAAGGUUGGUGACGGCACCCAUGAGUGAGAGUAUCAGUAGAUGGUUGCGGAUACCUUGCCUGGAAACGAAGAUCAGGGAGAGAAGAAAGGGACGGAAGAGGAGGAACGGGAGGGAGUGUAACUUGGUUAGAAGGAGGCGAAAUGAGCCCGGCGGCUUGCCUCAUGCCUCCAGCUGCAUCUUGUGGAGUUCGUACGACCGUCACGCCAUCACUUGAGUGAUCGGCACCUUUGGAGGAAUGCGACACGGAAGGAGUGAGGGGUGGAAGCGGCGGCGGGUUUGAACUUGAGAUGGAGAAGGUAAAGAACCGGCGUGGUGAUUUUGGUGGUCGCAGAUCCGGCAAGGUAGAGACCCCAGAGGAAGGUGACAUGAAAGAGGGCAUAGUGAUAAAAGGGUUGAGAAACUGUGUGCUGCGUUGAGUGCUUAAUAAUUACUGGGUAGUUGAUUAUGGUGGCAAAGAAGAGCCAAGUUGAGGUGUCGAGGGACCUGUGGUAGGUUAAUAAAGUAUUCCCGACGUCACUCCAAAGACGAAACGUUAAGGAGUUGACAAGCUUUUGUCCUGGAACAAUAAAAGUCAUUCCUGCUUAAAUCAUCCGUUAUCCAUCACGAUCAUUCCAAGCGCAACGACGUCCCUUGUUCAACGUAGGGCCGUUGAUCGUCCAUUUCCUGCGUUCCAGGCGCUCCGAAGGGCCCGCCUUGAAACCUGAGCUCGCUUUGGGAACAAUAAGCCGUCGAUUGUAAAAAGAAAAUGAGAUGGGAUGGCAAGUCGGGACCGGAAGGACGUUGAUCGAAAGGCAUCCUGUUUCGAGGACAAAGGAAAGUCGGGAAAGGUACAGAUGAGGUCCGUGCGUUUUUGAUCGAUCGUGCCCGAAAAAACGAAAAACGAGUCCUGUCAUUCCGGCGGCGGCACUGGCCGGUCAAAUAACUUGUUGCUUCUGUCUUCAUGGUUGAUAAUGAGUAACGAUCGCGAGGAUCCUGCAAGGCUCAGUGAUAGUUUCCGACUGCAUACCGAUGUAUCGU
rnacentral:sRNA from 1 species